CCUACGGGGAGCAGCAGUGAGGAAUAUUGGUCAAUGGACGAGAGUCUGAACCAGCCAAGUAGCGUGAAGGAUGACUGCCCUAUGGGUUGUAAACUUCUUUUAUAUGGGAAUAAAAUGUUCCACGUGUGGGCUUUUGUAUGUACCAUAUGAAUAAGGAUCGGCUAACUCCGUGCCAGCAGCCGCGGUAAUACGGAGGAUCCGAGCGUUAUCCGGAUUUAUUGGGUUUAAAGGGAGCGUAGGUGGAUUGUUAAGUCAGUUGUGAAAGUUUGCGGCUCAACCGUAAAAUUGCAGUUGAAACUGGCAGUCUUGAGUACAGUAGAGGUGGGCGGAAUUCGUGGUGUAGCGGUGAAAUGCUUAGAUAUCACGAAGAACUCCGAUUGCGAAGGCAGCUCACUGGACUGCAACUGACACUGAGGCUCGAAAGUGUGGGUAUCAAACAGGAUUAGAUACCCGAGUAGUC
rnacentral:rRNA from 1 species